UUCCGUAGGGUGAACCUGCGGAAGGAUCAUUAACGAGUUAGGGUCUUUCAUCGGCCCGACCUCCCAACCCUUUGUUUACCGAACCUCUGUUGCUUCGGCGGACCCGUCUCCACGACCGCCGGAGGAUCGCCGCGAGGCGUCCUCUGGCCCGUGUCCGUCGACAGCCAACCACUUUAAAACUCUGAAUGAAUCGUGUCCUUGUAUCUAAGUCUUAUGAUUAAAAUCAAAAACAAAAACUUUCAACAACGGAUCUCUUGGUUCUGGCAUCGAUGAAGAACGCAGCGAAAUGCGAUAAGUAAUGCGAAUUGCAGAAUUCCAGUGAGUCAUCGAAUCUUUGAACGCACAUUGCGCCCUUUGGUAUUCCGAAGGGCAUGCCUGUUCGAGCGUCAUUAUCACCCCUCAAGCCCUCGGCUUGGUGUUGGACGGCUUGGUCGUGGAAAUCCCGACCCCUCCUAAAGACAAUGACGGCGGCCUGUGGCACCCCCGGUACACUGAGCUUUUUACUGAGCACGUAUCGGACAAGGGUGCCCGGGACACGGUCCUCUCCUUUCACUAGGAAACUUUUCUUAGGUUGACCUCGGAUCAGGUAGGAAUACGCGCUGAACUUAAGCAUAUCAAUAAGCCGGAGGAA
rnacentral:rRNA from 1 species